rnacentral:rRNA from 1 species
CACGUAGGGGGCGAGCGUUGUCCGGAAUCAUUGGGCGUAAAGAGCUCGUAGGCGGCUCGGUAAGUCGGGUGUGAAACCCCCAGGCUCAACCUGGGGACGCCACCCGAUACUGCUGUGGCUAGAGUCCAGUAGGGGAGUGUGGAAUUCCCGGUGUAGCGGUGAAAUGCGCAGAUAUCGGGAGGAACACCGGUGGCGAAGGCGGUUCUCUGGGCCUGACCUGACGCUGAGGAGCGAAAGCGUGGGGAGCGAACAGG